AACUAGAUUCAAGAAAGGAGAAAGAGAAGAAGAAGAACUACCGAUAGAAAUCCAUGGCCAGGGAUCAUUGGCUCUGAUACCAUUGAUGCAAACCUAGGUGAAAGUGAACUAGAAAGGGGAGAAAAUAUAGAAGACAGAAGAAUUUAGGAAGGAAAAGGAUGAACAGAGAUAAGAAUCAAGAUUUCAUUGACAUUAACCAUGCCAAAUUACAGAGUUUGUUCCCCUUUUAUACAAAUCAACCCGCUUAACAAUAUUAGAAACUUAUCAGUUUGUUAAGGUAUUGAAUAGAAUUUGGUAUUGAGCUAGAUAA
rnacentral:misc_RNA from 1 species